rnacentral:scRNA from 1 species
UAUCUACUUGUCAGUGUCAGCAAAAUCGGGGAC